GGCAUAGUACAAAACAUGGACUGGACUGGACAGUUGGACUGGACUGGACAGCUGGACUGGACUCGACAGUUGGACUGGACUGGACAGUUGGACUGGACUCGACAGUUGGACUGGACUGGACUGUUGGACUGGACUGAUUUUUACAUUUUCUCUAUUCUUGACUUGCACGUCACCCGCCAUGUCAGAUGGCAUGGCACAAAAGAAUAUUUUAUCACAGAAUAGAUAUACCAUGUCAUGUCUAUUUUGUGAUUUUAUCGAUCGGAACAUUGUCUGGUGUGUACCAGGAGGAGAUUGGUUGCAAG